GAUGAACGCUGGCGGCGUGCUUAACACAUGCAAGUCGAACGGAAAGGCUCCUGCUUGCAGGGGCACUCGAGUGGCGAACGGGUGAGUAACACGUGGGUUAUCUGCCCUGCACUUCGGGAUAAGCCUGGGAAACUGGGUCUAAUACCGAAUAGGACCAUCGUUUCCUGUCGGUGGCGGAAAGUUUUUUCGGUGUGGGCUGAGCUCGCGGCCUAUCAGCUUCUUGGUGGGGUAUUGGCCUACAAAGGCGUGGACGGGUCGCGGGCAUGUGAGGGAGUACGGCCACAUUGGGCCUGGGAGACGGGCAAGACUCCGACGGGGGGCAGAAGGGGGGAAAAGUGCACAAUGGGCGAAAGCCGGAGGCAGCGACGCCGCGUGGGGGAUGACGGCAUUCGGGUUGGAAACACCUUUCGCCAGGGACGAAGCGAAAGUGACGGUGCCGGGAUAAGAAGCACCGGCUACAUACGG
rnacentral:rRNA from 1 species